AUUGAACGCUGGCGGCAUGCCUAACACAUGCAAGUCGAGCGAGCGGCGGACGGGAGGGUAAUGUAUGGGGACCUGCACGAUAGAGCGGGAUAACUACUGGAAACCUUGGCUAAUACCGCAUACUGUCGGAUCAUCCCAUAGGGGUUUAGCUAGUAGGUGGGGUAAAGGCGCACCUAGGCGACGAUCUCUAGCUGGUCUGAGAGGAUGAUCAGCCACACUGGGACUGAGACACGGCCCAGACUCCUACGGGAGGCAGCAGUAGGGAAUAUUGCGCAAUGGGCGCAAGCCUGAUGAAGCCAUGCCGCGUGUAUGAAGAAGGCCUUAGGGUUGUAAAGUACUGUCGGCAGGGAGGCGUUACCCGCAGAAGAAGCAACGGCUAACUACGUGCCAGCAGCCGCGGUAAUUC
rnacentral:rRNA from 1 species